CACACAAAACAGGCCCCACAUGCACACCAGUCCACCAGGGGUCUUCCCUGUGGACCCUAUGGCCUAUACACCCCUGCAGGUGUCUCCUUCCAGCUAAUAUAUGCGAAUCCUCCAGCUCCUAUUGCUCCCAUAAAACAUGGGGACUGUGGCCACAAUCAAGAA